CUCAGGACGAACGCUAGUGACGUGCCUAAGAAAUGCAAGUCGAGCGAGGCCAUGGAGCCUGCUCCGGAAGCCUAGCGGCGAACGGUCGCGUAACACGUAAGCAACCUGCCCCAAAGUUUGGGGUAGCCCUCCGAAAGGGGGAUUAAUACCGGAUGUGGAUGUCGAUAUGCAUGUAUUGACAUCUAAAGCAUUUAUGCGCUUUGGGAUGGGCUUGCGGCCUAUCAGCUAGUUGGUGAGGUAACGGCUCACCAAGGCGACGACGGGUAGCUGGUCUGAGAGGAUGGUCAGCCGGACUGGGACUGAGACACGGCCCAGACUCCUACGGGGGACAGCAAUUAGGAAUCUUGCGCAAUGGGCGAAAGCCUGACGCAGCGACGUCGCGUGAAUGAUGAAGUCUUUCGGGAUGUAAAGUUCUUUUCUGAGGGAAGAAGGAUGUGACGGUACCUCAGGAAUAAGCCCCGGCUAACUACGUGCCAGCAGCCGCGGUAAUACGUAGGGGGCGAGCGUUGUCCGAAUUUACUGGGCGUAAAGCGCGCGUAGGCGGACUCUUAAGUUGGUGGUGAAAUGCCGAGGCUCAACCUCGGAACUGCCUUCAAAACUGGGAGUCUAGAGGCUUGGAGAGGGAAGUGGAAUUCCUGGUGUAGCGGUGAAAUGCGUAGAUAUCAGGAGGAACACCGAUGGCGAAGGCAGCUUCCUGGCCAUGUCCUGACGCUGAGGUGCGAAAGCUAGGGUAGCGAACGGGAUUAGAUACCCCGGUAGUCCUAGCCGUAAACGAUGGAUACUAGGUGUUAGAGGUAUCGACCCCUCUAGUGCCGAAGCAAACGCAUUAAGUAUCCCGCCUGGGGAGUACGCCGCAAGGUUGAAACUCAAAGGAAUUGACGGGGGCCCGCACAAGCGGUGGAGCAAUGUGGUUUANAANUACGUUCACUAACCGUAGAACCUCACCCAGGCUUGACAUCUGCUGAAAGCGCCUGAAAGGGUGGCCCCGGUAUUUUUAUAUCGCAGCAAGACAGGUGUUGCAUGGCUGUCGUCAGCUCGUGUCGUGAGAUGUUGGGUUAAGUCCCGCAACGAGCGCAACCCUCAUCCGAUGUUGCCAGCGUAAAGUCGGGAACUCUUCGGAAACUGCCCGUGCAAGCGGGAGGAAGGUGGGGNAUGACGUCAAGUCAGCAUGGCCCUUACGCCUGGGGCUACACACAUGCUACAAUGGAUGUAAACAAUGGGCAGCAAGACCGCGAGGUGGAGCAAAUCUCAAAAAUACAUCCUCAGUUCGGAUUGCAGUCUGCAACUCGACUGCAUGAAGUCGGAAUCGCUAGUAACCGCAGGUCAGCUAAACUGCGGUGAAUACGUUCCCGGGCAUUGACACACCGCCCGUCACGCCACCUGAGUUGUCUGCACCCGAAGUCGAUGGCCCAACCGCAAGGGGGGAGUCGCCGAAGGUG
rnacentral:rRNA from 1 species